rnacentral:lncRNA from 1 species
CUUAGCUUUCCUUAGAUUCAAAAAACCAAACAAAUAGAUUAAAAACAUCAAAAAAAAAUAAAUUACUGUUUCAUUGGAUAGAUUCUGGAUUUUUGCUUUGGAACAUACAACUAGGUUUGGGAUAUGUUUUGAGUUGAUCUGGGCUUAUUCUUGCUUGUUUAUCUGUUGGGUUUUCAAGCUUCUGGGUGAUUUCAAGCAUAUUUGAGAUUAUUUGAUUGAUUUUACUCAUUCCUGGGCUGUGUCUUGGACUUUGCUUGUUACAGCUGAUCUCGUUGUUGCUGAUUAUUUGUUACAGCUGACUCACUCUCCUUCCUCUCUUGAAUUCCUUUCC